UGGGGAAUAUUGCACAAUGGGCGAAAGCCUGAUGCAGCGACGCCGCGUGAGGGAUGACGGCCUUCGGGUUGUAAACCUCUUUCAGCAGGGAAGAAGCGAAAGUGACGGUACCUGCAGAAGAAGCGCCGGCUAACUACGUGCCAGCAGCCGCGGUAAUACGUAGGGCGCAAGCGUUGUCCGGAAUUAUUGGGCGUAAAGAGCUCGUAGGCGGUUAGUCGCGUCUGCUGUGAAAACUCGAGGCUCAACCUCGGGCUUGCAGUGGGUACGGGCUGACUAGAGUGCGGUAGGGGUGACUGGAAUUCCUGGUGUAGCGGUGGAAUGCGCAGAUAUCAGGAGGAACACCGAUGGCGAAGGCAGGUCACUGGGCCGCAACUGACGCUGAGGAGCGAAAGCAUGGGGAGCGAACAGGAUUAGAUAGCCCUGGUAGUCCAUGCCGUAAACGUUGGGCACUAGGUGUGAGGUCCAUUCCACGGAUUCCGUGCCGCAGCAAACGCAUUAAGUGCCCCGCCUGGGGAGUACGGCCGCAAGGCUAAAACUCAAAGGAAUUGAC
rnacentral:rRNA from 1 species